rnacentral:rRNA from 1 species
GUGUGUUCCAGGUAAAUCCGGUUCACUUUAACACUGAGGCGUGACGACGAGGCACUACGGUGCUGAAGCAACAAAUGCCCUGCUUCCAGGAAAAGCCUCUAAGCAUCAGGUAACAUCAAAUCGUACCCCAAACCGACACAGGUGGUCAGGUAGAGAAUACCAAGGCGCUUGAGAGAACUCGGGUGAAGGAACUAGGCAAAAUGGUGCCGUAACUUCGGGAGAAGGCACGCUGACACGUAGGUGAAGUGAUUUACUCAUGGAGCUGAAGUCAGUCGAAGAUACCAGCUGGCUGCAACUGUUUAUUAAAAACACAGCACUGUGCAAACACGAAAGUGGACGUAUACGGUGUGACGCCUGCCCGGUGCCGGAAGGUUAAUUGAUGGGGUCAGCGCAAGCGAAGCUCCUGAUCGAAGCCCCGGUAAACGGCGGCCGUAACUAUAACGGUCCUAAGGUAGCGAAAUUCCUUGUCGGGUAAGUUCCGACCUGCACGAAUGGCGUAAUGAUGGCCAGGCUGUCUCCACCCGAGACUCAGUGAAAUUGAACUCGCUGUGAAGAUGCAGUGUACCCGCGGCAAGACGGAAAGACCCCGUGAACCUUUACUAUAGCUUGACACUGAACAUUGAGCCUUGAUGUGUAGGAUAGGUGGGAGGCUUUGAAGUGUGGACGCCAGUCUGCAUGGAGCCGGCCUUGAAAUACCACCCUUUAAUGUUUGAUGUUCUAACGUGGACCCGUUACCCGGGUUGCGGACAGUGUCUGGUGGGUAGUUUGACUGGGGCGGUCUCCUCCUAAAGAGUAACGGAGGAGCACGAAGGUUGGCUAAUCCUGGUCGGACAUCAGGAGGUUAGUGCAAUGGCAUAAGCCAGCUUGACUGCGAGCGUGACGGCGCGAGCAGGUGCGAAAGCAGGUCAUAGUGAUCCGGUGGUUCUGAAUGGAAGGGCCAUCGCUCAACGGAUAAAAGGUACUCCGGGGAUAACAGGCUGAUACCGCCCAAGAGUUCAUAUCGACGGCGGUGUUUGGCACCUCGAUGUCGGCUCAUCACAUCCUGGGGCUGAAGUAGGUCCCAAGGGUAUGGCUGUUCGCCAUUUAAAGUGGUACGCGAGCUGGGUUUAGAACGUCGUGAGACAGUUCGGUCCCUAUCUGCCGUGGGCGCUGGAGAACUGAGGGGGGCUGCUCCUAGUACGAGAGGACCGGAGUGGACGCAUCACUGGUGUUCGGGUUGUCAUGCCAAUGGCACUGCCCGGUAGCUAAAUGCGGAAGAGAUAAGUGCUGAAAGCAUCUAAGCACGAAACUUGCCCCGA